rnacentral:lncRNA from 1 species
CGUCUUCUCCACUAUUACUCUAUUAAAUGAGAAGGUAAAUGAAAAGACGAGAGAAUUACUAUAUUAAAUGGGAAGGUAAAUAAGAAUGUGAGAGAAUUACUCUAUUAAAUGGUAAGUUAAAUGAAAAGGUGAGAGAAUUAUUCUAUUAAAUGGGAAGGUAAAUAAGAAAGUGAGGGGACGAUAUCGAUGUCAGAGAGAUAAAUUGUAUUCGUGGAGGAAAUACCCAGUAGCGGUGGGCC